GAAGUAGCUCAGCUUGGUAGAGCACUUGGUUUGGGACCAAGGGGUCGUAGGUUCGAAUCCUGUCUUCCCG
rnacentral:tRNA from 1 species